rnacentral:misc_RNA from 1 species
CGUUGCUACUUCCGUUAUUCACAAACGACGCCAUUUUGGUUGUUGCUGCUGCACUUUGUUUCCACGUCUGUGUUUGCAUUUUGCUCAUUAUCCCGCACGUAUCGCACGUUCUUCACGAUGUAUGCCACUGUUGCUUUGGUUUAUCAUCAAGCUCAGGACGAUCUCCACAGGUUUAGGACCUACCAGGCCCCCGUCUCCCAAACGACUCUUCCUGUCCCUGAUCCUUUCAGAUAUAUCAA